ensembl:lncRNA
GUGUAGAAAACAUGAUCUAAUAAUGCCCAAAGUGCACUUAUAAAGGAAGCAGUGGGUUUUAUCGGGAUACAGCCUGUAUCGUAGGCGAGAAUUAACAGCACUUGAGUUGAGAAGGGGACCAUAACGCCUGAUUUCUUUUUGGUGUAACGUUGUACUACCUUGUGUGAACGGAGCUGGUGCGUAAAGAGGCAUGGCGGACUCGGUGAAGACGUUCCAGGCGCAUCUGACCGCCGUGAUGGACAGCCUGGUGCGCGCGUCCGUGUGCGAGAUCACCAAGCUGUUCGAGGACACGGUGAACGACUACCUGGUGGAGAUCUCGCUCAACCGGAAGGAGAACGAGGCUUUGAAACUGCGCCUGAGACUCACCGAGAACAAGCUUAAGAACGAGCGGAAGUACGGGCUGGCCUGGGCGGCCAGUCGGCGCGCAGCCGGCCUGCUCGGUCCUGAUGAGACCGGCGCAGCAAAAAAGAGAAAGCUGGAGCCUAGAGGCAAGCAGGCCAAGGAGUGGAGCGGUGGCGUGUGGGAGGAGGGGGUUGGAGGAGCGAGGGAUGAGAGGAGGGACAAGAGGAGGGACGAGAGGAGGGACGUGGGCCGCACGCAUCCACCAACCACAGUGGAAGGAGAGGAGCAGGAGGAGGAGAGGAGACACGUCUCUGGGGAGAGAAAGGAGGUGGCCACUGUUAAGGAGGAG